rnacentral:sRNA from 1 species
GGAUUUUUUGGAAUUGAAAAUACCAGUCUUCAUUAAGAUUUGAACCCAGGACCCAAGGUUCGGAAGCCAAGCACUUAACCGCUUUUGAUUUACAAGCACUCGUCAAUGAUGUCCUGCAAGAAAAAAAUUCAAACUAAUAGAAAAGUAUCGACUGACCUAGCAGACUUAUCCAGUCUUGGGGAUGAGAAUCAAGAUACA